GAUGAACGCUGGCGGCGUGCCUAAUACAUGCAAGUCGAGCGAACAGACGAGGAGCUUGCUCCUCUGACGUUAGCGGCGGACGGGUGAGUAACACGUGGAUAACCUCCCUAUAAGACUGGGAUAACUUCGGGAAACCGGAGCUAAUACCGGAUAAUAUAUUGAACCGCAUGGUUCAAUAGUGAAAGACGGUUUUGCUGUCACUUAUAGAUGGAUCCGCGCCGCAUUAGCUAGUUGGUAAGGUAACGGCUGACCAAGGCAACGAUGCGUAGCCGACCUGAGAGGGGGAUCGGCCACACUGGAACUGAGACACGGUCCAGACUCCUACGGGAGGCAGGAGUAGGGAAUCUUCCGGAAGGGGCGAAUGCCUGACGGAGCAACGCCGCGUGAGUGAUGAAGGUCUUCGGAUCGUAAAACUCUGUUAUUAGGGAAGAACAAAUGUGUAAGUAACUAUGCACGUCUUGACGGUACCUAAUCAGAAAGCCACGGCUAACUACGUG
rnacentral:rRNA from 1 species